AUUUAUGCGCAGGCCAGGCUACGACUUAAAAUUAUUGGGGGACUCGAGGGAUCCAUAUAAAAUGGAAAGACUCAGCCAAGGAAACAAACACAACAUCUGCAGGGGAUACGAAUAAGUCAGGAUAAAAACUGAAGCAUUCGACUCAUGCAGGGGAACAACGAUUUCACUAAGGAAAUGCGCACUCAACUCAACUGGGGAGAAAAAAUAAAAUUUC
rnacentral:lncRNA from 1 species